UUUGUAUAAUGGGUCAGCGACUUAUAUUCAGUGGCAAGGUUAACCAUCUAGGGGAGCCGUAGGGAAACCGAGUCUUAACUGGGCGUUCAGUCUCUGGAUAUAGACCCGAAACCAGGUGAUCUAGCCAUGGGCAGGUUGAAGGUUGAGUAACAUCAACUGGAGGACCGAACCGACUAAUGUUGAAAAAUUAGCGGAUGACUUGUGGCUAGGGGUGAAAGGCCAAUCAAACCUGGAGAUAGCUGGUUCUCCCCGAAAGCUAUUUAGGUAGCGCCUCGGACGAAUACUACUGGGGGUAGAGCACUGUUAAGGCUAGGGGGUCAUCCCGACUUACCAACCCUUUGCAAACUCCGAAUACCAGUAAGUACUAUCCGGGAGACACACGGCGGGUGCUAACGUCCGUCGUGGAGAGGGAAACAACCCAGACCGCCAGCUAAGGUCCCAAAUUACUACUAAGUGGGAAACGAUGUGGGAAGGCUCAGACAGCCAGGAUGUUGGCUUAGAAGCAGCCAUCAUUUAAAGAAAGCGUAAUAGCUCACUGGUCGAGUCGGCCUGCGCGGAAGAUGUAACGGGGCUAAGUAGUAAACCGAAGCUGCGGCAAUAUACUUUUGUAUAUUGGGUAGGGGAGCGUUCUGUAAGCGGUUGAAGGUGUGUGGUAACGCAUGCUGGACGUAUCAGAAGUGCGAAUGCUGACAUGAGUAACGAUAAAGGGGGUGAAAAACCUCCUCGCCGGAAGACCAAGGGUUCCUGUCCAACGUUAAUCGGGGCAGGGUAAGUCGACCCCUAAGGCGAGGCCGAAAGGCGUAGUCGAUGGGAAACGGGUUAAUAUUCCCGUACUUCUUACAAUUGCGAUGGGGGGACGGAGAAGGCUAGGUGGGCCUGGCG
rnacentral:rRNA from 1 species